rnacentral:rRNA from 1 species
UACGAAGGGGGCUAGCGUUACUCGGAAUGACUGGGCGUAAAGGGCGCGUAGGCGGUUUGUUUAGUUAGGCGUGAAAUUCCUGGGCUCAACCUGGGGGCUGCGCUUAAUACAGGCAGACUAGAGUGAGGAAGAGGGUUGUGGAAUUCCCAGUGUAGAGGUGAAAUUCGUAGAUAUUGGGAAGAACACCGGUGGCGAAGGCGGCAACCUGGUCCUUGACUGACGCUGAGGCGCGAAAGCGUGGGGAGCAAACAGG